rnacentral:lncRNA from 1 species
CAGCGAGUGCUUGAUCCCUGCAGGAAGAGCGAGUUGGUGAAAAUCCUGCCUGGCUGGAUCAAGGUUAAGAGAUGAGGAAAUCCAAGCUCAGAAUGGAUAAUUCACCUAAGGAAAUACAGAUGGAAAAUGGCAGAGCUGCAAUCUAAACCCAGGUCCAUCUGAUAAUAAAGCCCAGGCUCUCCUCAACCAACUUCAGAUCUAGGAUGCUUCCAGUGAGACUCCGUGCUCCCUCCCUGUGUGGUUCCCAUGGCCUUUCUUUACCUCAAGAAAAUGCAGAGUGAAAAGCAAUGGUAGCAGAAGUUUCUAGAAGUUACUUAUAUGGCAAGUGCAAGUAUUUCAGAACACAUUUGAGAUUCAGGAAGGAGGCAAAAAGGCUUCUGCUGAGCAGUCAAAAUGACGAAGUUUGUAAACUUCACUUUAUUUGGGUCCCUGCUGAAAGUCUACCUACUCUUUAAAAACAAUAACAACAACAAAAAAUGGGAACACACUAUUAACGCUGUUCUGCACAUGUAUUUUUCAAUUAACAAUUGGUGAGUAUUCCCUUUUAGCGCACAUAGAUCUACCUCAUUCAUUUAAGGGCUCUGUAGUGCUGCAUUGUGUGAAUGCACCAAAUGUGUAUUUAUCCUGCAUUCUCUAGGUGGACAUUUUAGACACUUACAAGGGUUGGGGCUCAGAAAGUGAUAUCCCAAAGGCUGAUGUUUUGACAUGCUGAGGGCCCUCAGAAGCCGCCCCCGAACCAAGGUCCCUCUAACUUCUUGUUCCCCAUACCUGCCCCACCACCAAACACAGGGAGGGACUGUCUGUCUUUGGAAAUUUCCUCAUCUGACCAAGAAAGCAUCUUUCCAAAAGAAAUGCAAUUGUCUUAAACACCCUCCCUAGAGGUCUCAUCAAAUAACCAAGAAAGAUAAACCACCAGAAGAGAUGAGACUGGGAAUCAUCACCACACCCAGACAGACUUCAUCUAUUCUUCUGAGAGCAGCUCCAAGAGAUUGCCUGGAGGACUUUAUCUGCUUAAUAAGACAAGCUUUGUUCCUGUACAGCUCCGCCCCUCACCUUCCUGUAAUAUCUGCCUCCCACCUCCCCAGUCCAUACAUCUCCUCCCUCCUGUAUGAAAAAGGGUAUACAAGCUUCUGUGCCCCAUUGGGUUAUUGGGAAAUCAUUCUCCUGUGAUUCCCCUGUGCCAUGCACACUAAAAUAAAAUUUUGUAUGCCUUUUCUCCUAUCGAUCUGCCUUUGGUCAGUUGAUUUUUCAAUGAACCUUCAGAAGGCAAAGGGGAAGUUUUCCCUUGGCCCCUGUACAUGUCUUUUGUAACUAUAGAUAAUGCUGUCAUGAACACCCUUUCUUCCCCCAUGUCUGAUGGGUAACGCACCAACAUUGUAACAAAAUUGGAGGAAGGCAUAUGUCACACAUGAGCGUGAAAACCCAAUCACCACGCUUAUGAACUACAAAAAGUACAUGAAACUGUGUUAUCCACAAGUCAGAUGAACCCAAAGAACUUGUUUCCAAGCCCUUCCUGGAGCAGAAUCAGUGAAGAGGAGGGGAAAGGGUUGCUAGAGGCUGUUGGCCUGAAGCAAUACAAGCUACUGCUGACAGUCUGGCAGGAGAAAGGAGACACAAAACUCUACAAAGCAAACACAAGAAGGAAAACAGGCCAGGAUCAUUUAGCAGAAGGUCCAAACAGUCCAAGACGGCAGAGUAGGCCUUUAGCAUAUACGAACUGAGGUUGAGAAGUACACUUAACCAUGAAAAAAGGGGCUUAAAUCUCUUCUCCAUGCUCUGUUUUAGAAGGCAGAAGAGUGUAAAAUCCAUUUUAGAAUUAUUUUCCUCUAAAAUGGCGAUCUAGGAAAAGGCCCAGCACUUGAAAGGACAAACGUCGACUGUGUAUGUAGCACACACCAUAACCUAUGGCGUUGGAUAGAGUGCUAUUAUACAAAAAUUGAUUGCUUUUUUUUUGAAAAAACAAGGACAGACAAGGCCUAUAAAGAAUAUGGAAGAUGGGCUCUUAGAAAAGGUGGACAUUUUGGCCGGGUGCUGUGGCUCACGCCUGUAAUCCCAGCACUUUGAGAGGCCGAGGCGGGCAGAUCACCUGA